rnacentral:snRNA from 1 species
AUGCUUACCAGGAAGGGGUAAUACCAUGACCAAGAUGAAGUUUUUCCCAGGAUGAGGCUUACCCGUUGCAAUCUAUAUGCUCUCUCUGUGAUUUCCCCAAAUGCAGAAACUCAACUGCAUAAUGUGUGGUAGUAGUGGGAUGCUUUGGACAUUAU